AAGAGACACACAGCUGUACUGCUUAAUGGCACUUCCUCCUCUUCAUUCAAAUCACUUAUUCCUCUCUUCCGCAUAGCAAAAAUCUUCUCCCACUACACCAAAUUGAUGAUAAACUCCCUACGGGCUAUUACAGAGGAUGCUCUUGGAGUGGAAGCUACCAAAAAGAGUUUGUCAAGGACUUGAUUAGAGCACACAGAUUGCAUCUUUGCUUCUUCAGUCAGUUGGAUAGCAUCUUGCUGAUUGGUCUCCUCCUGCAAAUUAAGAGGAGCAAUUGGUCAGGUCACAGAUUUGCCUUUAUCGCAACUCUUCAAAGUCUUAUUUUAGCAAGACAGCUUUCCAAUGUGAAUAUGGAAGGCGCCUUCUUCACCUCAGGUUAGUGAAAACCCUGAUGUUUUUCUCUUGUCUAUCAGUUUCCUGAAAGUUUCUGAGAAGUACUUCUUCUAUGGAGAGGACAUUUAGCUGAAUCUGAAUUAGUAAAGCCAGUUCCCACUGAAUCACAGGUUUUGUUCAAAGAAGUGGGUAUUCAAAGCCAUUUUCUUAAUAUACUUUGGAACAAGCUGUAUAGCUGAAGCAGUCUCUAGGUGCAGAGAAGGCAGGCAGCUGAUGCAGUACAGUGACAAUACAUGCCAUGCCUUCUUUGCUUCUGCUGGACCUGAAGAAGACAAGACUGGAAACAACUGCUGCUCCUCCACCCAGCAGAGAGUUUUGAGUCCACAGGGCAGUGGCAGCAAGGAGGGACCCUUGCAGCAGCUAGCCAGAAUCUCCAGGAUUCCUUCUGCCCAUUCAAGAUGUGACUCUUUUUCCCUUUCCCGAUUCCUAUAACAGGAGUGGUCAUGGUUUUGCUUUGUAUUUUAGAGCAGGAAAAUUCAUCGCUUCUGAGAAAUAUUGAGUCAGCUUUGUGUACCUAUGCCUAAUGUGACAGAUACUACUUUUUACUGCUGUUUGCUGAUGGUAGCACUUACGAACACAGUAUGUGAGUCACAUGGGAUGCAUAGAGGAGGAUCCCAGACCCACCGAAUGCUUGUAUCACUAAUAAAUGAUGAACUUGACAGACAAAUACAUGAGAUUAAUGCUAAACUGGAGAAAUUCAGCAAGUCUCUAUGGAGGAUGAUUAUAUUAUAUUAUAUAUAUUAUAUAUUAUAUUAUUGAUUAUAUUGUACUAUUUCCAUUCACAGCAGCAGGAGUUUGGGCCCAUUGGCUUUAACUGAGUUAUUUUCAGUAUACAACAGUACAAACAGCAAAAGAAACAACCUCAGGAGAAAGAGGCUGAAGCAGUAGGAAUGAGGGUGUGGUAUGGAAAUAAGAUGAGGUAUGGCUACCCAAAUGGUUUGAGUUGUUUGAUGAGUUUCUGGUCUCUGUAUGUAGAAUAUCAAUGAAGCAAUGGUUUAAAAAAAAAAAAAAAAGAAGAAGAAGAAAAAAAAGAAAAAAAAGAAAAAAAGUUCCUUUAUGUCAAGUUGGGGUGAAACCAGACAGCUAUACUGUGGAAAGUUAUUCCUAUCUGCUAGAAAGAGCAGCAUGGAAUAAGGUGUGGAUCUGUUCAAGAGAUAAGAAUGUAUUAUGGAGGAGUAUUAUGUGAAGGACAACUGAUGUAACAAUGAAAAUAUUUGCAGUGAUGUUGUUAACAGAUGUAGGAAAACGUGAAUAUUUUUUUAAAUUGUUCUUUAAUUUAAAUUCCUGUUGUUUUCUUCACCGUGCCAAUAAUUCUUUAGUCUUUUUUGUCACCUCACUACAUGAGAUCCUUGCUGAAAAGAAGCUUUGUCUCUCAUCUCACUUUUAUGCUGUUAUAUGUAUACUUGUUAUAUUCUGGAACAAGUUUCUGGCAACAUGCCAUGCAUGAGCGGAAGGAGGCAGAGAAGACUUUUUGGAGGACUCAGAGCUGGGACAAGCAGUGUGGCUGAGAAUAAAUAAGUGCCAGGUGCCUCGGGUACACUGAAACUGACAGAAUUCAUUGUGGUAUUCAAGAUCAAGCAUGAACAUGUGCUAGAAGAUCACACAGAAGGGAAAGCUGGCUAGCUAAUGUAAAAAUAUUUCUGUAGAUCUAAGACUUGUAGUUUAAGUUGAGAGGAAGGGAGAUACAGUGAGUAUUCAGUCCUUGUGACGUGACAUGAGAAAUGCCCUACACAGUCAGGGCACAGUCUGACUGCAGCCUACCUCUAACAGGGUGCCACGACAUACCAUUUGGAGAAAGGCCUGCAAGUCUGGCUAUGUUCAGGGGUGCUUUCCCCUUACGCUUCCCAACAAGCAUGGCUUUUGCAUGAAGGAUGUCUGAGGCACAUCUCUGCCUGUUCCUUCUAGAACCUGUUUAUGGAGUUGUUUCCUGUGAAUUUGUCUAACCCGUUUUUGAGCAACCACCUGCCUCCACGGCCUCUGAUGGAGGCAAGUUCCCAAAGUUUACUGCUUGCUGUGCAAAUAAAUACUUCAUUUUAUUUCUUUUAAACCCACCUUCUAUUAGUUUCAGUAAGUUUCUACCAUUCUGCUACUGAAAAACUCUACUUUCAUCACUUAUGCUUUUAUCUUCCUUAUGAUCUUGAUCACAUCCCACUCAGCCUUCUCCUCUCCAGUCUGAAGAAAAGCAAUCUUUUUUCAUUCUCUCCUUGUCAGACAAUAGAUCUAAUCUCUUAGCUGUGCUGUACAAGCUAUUAGGCCUGGUCUCCAGGUGCAUUUCAAAAUAGUAGAGCUAGUGGAUAUUAAUAGCUAUUAUGGCAAUGCAGACAUUGCUUCAGUGUCUGUGACUGAAGCCGUCAGUCCCCCUUCCUCUAAAGCAUCUGGAGGUAAAGGACUCUCUGGGCCAAUUGAUUUCUGCUAGAGUUCACAGUAGCUGCUGGUUCCUAAAGAGGAUUUGGUCUCCUGGUUGCUCUCUACUGAUUUUUGCAGGUAGUGUGCAGUCACUGCAAAGAUAGUGCUUUUCUCUGCUUUUAGUAGGUAUCUUUAAGCUCAGUUCUUGCCCUAGUUUCUAUACUUGGCAACAACUGAUGGCCCUUAAUAUAUUUGUCGGGUAGCACUGUCUUUAAUAUUAUGUUGUAAGACAUCACUACAUAGCAUAAGCUCUCAGCUAGGCUUAACAACAGAUCAACCAGAGAACAAUUUACAUAUUAAGGCUACUGAUGUCUUGUGUUUUGAUCACAUUUUAAAGUUCUAUUAGCAUUACCAGGUUUUAAUUUAAGAAACAGAGACUUGUCUAUUCUCCCCCUUCAACUGCAAACCCUCUGAAAGGUCCUUUUUUCUGCAAAUAAGACAAAGCAAGGAAAUGGGCCAUCAUCCCUGCCUUUCAAUGCAGUGUGUCCUCUGUCCUCUUGGCAGGUAAAUCUUGUGAACAUGUUCACCAGGGAUGUGUUGUUAUUGUUUCACAUUCCUCUUGUAACAGCAUGGGAUCACAAGUGAAUCUGGGAUACUUUGGAGUAGUACAAUAAAGACCUUGUUUGUUUGCUGCUGUACUGUCAGAGGGAAUAUUUUAGCACCUGAUAGCACUGCAUAGAUUAGGUUUGAGAGGAUGUCCAUCCCUAACUGAAACAAUGGUAAUCUACAUCUUUUCUAUGGUUGGCUUCUACCUGUGCUCUGGGCCUGAUUCACUUCUAAUCAAGAAGGCAUUGUAUUGGUGCUGCAUGUAUAACCAGGAAGGUGAGUGGAUUGCAGAUUAGCUUUGCUUUCAUCUCCUAAACAUUUUAGAGGGCUAGCAAGCAAAAUUGGGAUAAGGAUGCAUUCUAAAGGCUUUGAAGUAUUUGUUAGUAAACAGAGGUUUUGCAGAUCUGUCCUUAACUAGAAAAUGUUAUGCCUUUUAUUAAUGUACCUUCUGAAGUAAAACUAUUGCUUUGUAUAAACUAGAUAUUCUUGAGAUGUGGCAGAAAGUAACUUACUGAUAAUUCUUAAUGCUUCAAAAUGUUACAUGCAUGUAGAGAAAAAUGACUUGUCUGAAAUGUCCCCUUGAAAAUGUUUUUCAACUAUGAAAUAUAUCCACAGGUUUUGUUGUUGUUGUUGUUGUUGUUUUUUAAUGAAACAUUCCUUUCUAUGGCUUAUUUUUUAAAAAACAUACGUAGGUCCAUAACAGUGGCUGUUUGGGAUCAGAACAGGGUCUCCUUAGCACUGUAUCCCAUUUCUGGCAUCGGCCAAGAGCAGAUGCCCAGGAGGAACUAUAAGAACAGGGUAAGCACAUAAAAUACUUUCCUGAAUGCUCUCCCAGCCUGCAACCAUUUAUGGAUCAGAGAUUUCCUGAGCUGGACAAGGUUUCUAUCUAGGUUGUAACCCUUCAUGAAUUUCUCUUCCUCUGGCUUUCCCCUUGAACUUGUGUGUCUUCCACUCAGAGAAGUUUUACAAUUUCAGCAUAUUUGAGGAGCUGAUUGAAUCAAAUAUUUGCUUGCAGUUAAAUAAAAUGGCUUAAUAGUAUAUGAUUUUAAAAUCUCCUUCUGUGUAAACCUCAUCUCUCAUAGCCUUACUGCUGUGAUGAGGGCAUUGCCGCAGAUUAGACUAUACUGGAAAGUCUUUCCUAAUGGUAUUUGAAGCUGUUCACUGGAUCUACUUAACAGCAGGAAGAACAUUCAUGCUGCCCAGUUUCAAGCAUCUAAUUAAGGUUUCUUACUUGUCAGCUUAAGUUUGCUUAAGUAGUUUCUAAUAUAGAAUUCUGUGAACUGGAAAUGGAAGGCAGCGCUAUGAAUUGUCAUCUGGAGCAGCCAGCCUACCCCUGCAAGGGGAAUUUAGGGAGACAAGCUGAGGGACCUUGAAUUGCUUGGUGUGAGUACUUCCACAUAUGAAAGAAGACAGAAUGGCUUGAUCAAAAAUGAACUCUUUAUUUUCCAACUAUUACUACGCAAUUUUAGAUAAGCAAAAAAACCAACCAACCAAAAAAAAAAAACGCCAAAGAGUCUAAACUGGUGUACAUGGAGAAUAGUAAUAUUGUGCUUAUAAAACAUAUCAUGACAUUUAUUUAGACCCCGAGAGAUCGAAAGCUUGUCUUGAUAACUGUUAUAUAUAGAGCUACUGCUACAGUUACUGAGCGCAUCAAAGAGAAAUGAAUUUAGUGUUGUUAGAACUGUGUCCUUUAGGGGCAGUCGUAUACCAGCAUUCUGUAUAAACAGAAGUUAAAAGAAGUAUCUGCAUGUGCCAGCAAGACUUGUUGAAAAAAACAGCUGCAUGGAAGAGAUGCCAAUGAAUCUUAUUCCAAACAGCAUGAAGAUUUUUAACUGUUACUGAGAAUCUCUUGUUAAUUCACCUCUGAUUAACAUCAUUGAAGUUAAACAUCUACGCAGUGGAGACCAGCCUUUUAUUCUUAGUUUAUAAAGGUCAUAAUUUUGAAAUUUAAAGCAAUAAAGAUUUGGCAAUUAGUGCCAACUUAUAAAAGACUGUCAUCUUUUUGGAGGUGUGCACCUUUUAUAGAACAGAAGUAGCGUUUGUAUGGUUAUUUGAGGCAGAAUUUGAAAUCUAGAAUUUGAAAAAGUAACCAAAAUGAUGGCUACAUUAAUAAAAAUGUUAUUUCAUUUGCAGUUCGUCUAUGGGGAGAACUUUUGGUGAUAUUUCUGCUUUAGAUGCUUGUCCUCUUUCUCCGAAUGGAAUAAUGGCUAGUGUUCAGUGGUGCUGAAGGAUAACACUUUGCAGAGCUGACCAGCUGAUCUGUGACUGAUGUUAUUAACCCAGUUCUCCAAGAGAUAGGAAUUGCUGGUGGAGAUGGUGGUGGUGAUUGUAGCAGUGCUGGUGGUGAAAUUAAUACCAAAAGUUCAAGAAUACUUACAUUCAAACUAAUCCAUUGCUCUCAGUUUGGGCAAUGGCACAUUCUUCCUCAAAAAGAUUGAAUUAUUAAAAAAAAAAAUAAUCUGGUAUUUCUGACAGUCAUACUCAUUUUACUUAACAGAAAGUUUUAUGAUGAUCGCUGUUACUAUCACUGUUGGUAUUAAAAGUGAAAUGGAGGACUUGACAUUCCAAGUCACACUACUUGCUAGAGCUUCAUUGUCAAAAAUUUUAUACUCACUUGGGCAUACAAGCUCAUAUUCGUAAUGUUCUGUGGCUAAGUCUCCACAUGAGUGGGGGACGAAAUGAUUACAAAAAUACCACUGAACUUUGGUAACACUCAAGAUGUUCAUUGCAGGGGAGUUGGACUAGAUGAUCUUUGAAGGUCCCUUCCAACUCAAACAAUUCUAUGAUUCUAUGUUCAGUUCUUUUAGUGUGGCUGGUAACCAACAACUAAAAGAUACCUGCAGAGGAGAUAGAAUGUUAGCAAACUUGCUUACUUAUAUAGCUAAUGAUAAAAACAAAGUUUCCAAAGACCUUAAAACAGUAUGAGACAACCUUUACAGAAUACACUGUCCAGGAUUUCGUUCCACAGACUGUAAGGCUUUCUUUCUGGGAGGUUAAAAACAGUUUUGUCAGGAGAUAUUCAUGUGCUCUGCUUUUAGGUACCUGUGCUGAAUGGCCCUCUCAGGGACUCUUUCAUGCAGAGAGUCCAGGGAAACUGUCGUCUAGACUGAAUGCCUGAAAUAGGUUAUGCAUACCUACAGGUCUCUGUAAAUUGGAGUCAGCCUGCAAGUCUUAACUACAGAAGACAUCAAGCCAGCAAGGUUUUUGGUAUUAAGCAAAAAUGCUAAUUUUGUGCGAAAGAGUAAAUUUGACUAUUUCUUAUAACAUUAAAUUUCAGAAAAACAAGAAUCAAGUAUUACUUAAGUCCUUAUUUUUAUUUAUAUUGUUUAAUAUUAGUCCUGGGCAACAUGAUCUAGUACCAUAUCUGGAGGUUGGUGGCCCUGUCUGUGGCGGGGGUUGGAACUUGAUGAUUCUUGGGGUCCUUUCCAACCCAAGCCAUUCUAUGAUUCCAUAUUACUCAAAUAAAAUAUAAAACUACUUGACCAAGUAUUUGAACAGAAAGGUGUAAAAGCUCUCUCAUGAGCUCAAAGUAUUUCACUUGUUAAAAGUACUGUGUCGACAACAUUAUUGUGGAAUGCUCUUUUAUCCAUAUAUGCGUGCUUUCAAAUACAAAGAUUAAAAAAAUUAAAAAAAAAAAUUAACAGCUGUGAAUAGCAGU